rnacentral:sRNA from 1 species
UAGUGAAAGUAGUUACUGGUGGAUAGAAC